rnacentral:rRNA from 1 species
UGAGGAAUAUUGCGCAAUGGGGGCAACCCUGACGCAGCGACGCCGCGUGAGUGAGGAAGGCCUUCGGGUCGUAAAGCUCUGUCAAAGGGAAAGAAGUGCAUGGUGGCUAAUACCUGCCAUGUUUGACGGUACCCUUAAAGGAAGCACCGGCUAACUCCGUGCCAGCAGCCGCGGUAAUACGGAGGGUGCAAGCGUUGUUCGGAAUCACUGGGCGUAAAGGGCGGGUAGGCGGUUUGAUAAGGCAGAUGUGAAAGCCCACGGCUUAACUGUGGAAGUGCAGUUGAAACUUGCAGACUGGAGUAUCAGAGGGGAAAGUGGAAUUCCCGGUGUAGAGGUGAAAUUCGUAGAUAUCGGGAGGAAUACCGGUGGCGAAGGCGACUUUCUGGCUGAAUACUGACGCUGAGGCGCGAAAGCGUGGGGAGCAAACA